rnacentral:rRNA from 1 species
GACGAACCGUGCGAACGUUAUUCGGAAUCACUGGGCUUAAAGCGCGUGUAGGCGGGUCGGCACGUCGGGAGCUGAAAUCCCCCGGCUCAACCGGGGAAGGGGCGCCGAUACGACCGGCCUGGAGGGACGUAGGGGGGGCUGGAACUUCCGGGGGAGCGGUGAAAUGCGUUGAGAUCGGAAGGAACGCCCGUGGCGAAAGCGAGCCCCUGGACGUCUACUGACGCUGAGACGCGAAAGCCAGGGGAGCGAACGGG